UUGGUCAAUGGAGGCAACUCUGAACCAGCCAUGCCGCGUGCAGGAUGACUGCCCUAUGGGUUGUAAACUGCUUUUGUCAGGGAAUAAACCUUUCUACGUGUAGGAAGCUGAAUGUACCUGAAGAAUAAGGAUCGGCUAACUCCGUGCCAGCAGCCGCGGUAAUACGGAGGAUCCAAGCGUUAUCCGGAUUUAUUGGGUUUAAAGGGUGCGUAGGCGGUCCUAUAAGUCAGUGGUGAAAGACGGCAGCUUAACUGUCGCAGUGCCUUUGAUACUGUAGGACUUGAAUCUAUUUGAAGUGGGCGGAAUAAGACAAGUAGCGGUGAAAUGCAUAGAUAUGUCUUAGAACUCCGAUUGCGAAGGCAGCUCACUAAGUUAGUAUUGACGCUGAUGCACGAAAGCGUGGGGAUCAAACAGGAUUAGAUACCCUGGUAGUCCACGCCCUAAACGAUGAUAACUCGAUGUUUGCGAUACACAGUAAGCGUCCAAGCGAAAGCGUUAAGUUAUCCACCUGGGGAGUACGGUCGCA
rnacentral:rRNA from 1 species